UAAUGAUGUGGAUGUGAGAUGUAUUAUUGAUCAUAAGUGCCAAACUUUGUACAGUGAAUGGAAAAGUAGAUUACACACACACUACAAAUCCCUUAAAGAAAACAAUGUAUCUGACCUCAAAAGUCAGAUACUAUAUCCUUGUACAAAGGAUGAUUGGGAAUGGAUGAUUGACAAUUUGUGGGAAACUGAUGAUUGGAAGGUAAAGUCAGAGAAUGCGAUGAAAGCGAGAGGUUGUGUGAAGUAUAAUCAUACGAGCGGCUCGAGAUCAUUUGCAUCGCGAGCAUCUAUCAUUGUACAAGGAAGCAAACCGACUAUUACGAAACUAUUCGAGGACACCCACAAACGUCACCGACAUGGGGGAGUGUGGAUAAAUAACACAGCUGAGGAACAUCAUG